rnacentral:snRNA from 1 species
UGGUUGAUGAACCAUGACC